UUGAUCCUGCCAGUAGUCAUAUGCUUGUCUCAAAGAUUAAGCCAUGCAUGUCUCAGUACAAGCCGCAUUAAGGUGAAACCGCGAAAGGCUCAUUAAAUCAGUUAUGGUUCCUUAGAUCGUACCCACAUUUACUUGGAUAACUGUGGUAAUUCUAGAGCUAAUACAUGCAAACAGAGUUCCGACCGGAGACGGGAGGAAUGCUUUUAUUAGAUCAAAACCAAUCGGCGGCGGUCGCGCUCGCGCCACCGUUCGCCGCUCAACCUGGUGACUCUGAAUAACUUUCGGCUGAUCGCACGGUCCAGCACCGGCGACGCAUCUUUCAAAUGUCUGCCUUAUCAACUGUCGAUGGUAGGUUCUGCGCCUACCAUGGUCGUAACGGGUAACGGGGAAUCAGGGUUCGAUUCCGGAGAGGGAGCCUGAGAAACGGCUACCACAUCCAAGGAAGGCAGCAGGCGCGCAAAUUACCCACUCCCGGCACGGGGAGGUAGUGACGAAAAAUAACGAUACGGGACUCAUCCGAGGCCCCGUAAUCGGAAUGAGUACACUUUAAAUCCUUUAACGAGGAUCAAUUGGAGGGCAAGUCUGGUGCCAGCAGCCGCGGUAAUUCCAGCUCCAAUAGCGUAUAUU
rnacentral:rRNA from 1 species